rnacentral:rRNA from 1 species
CCUGAUGCAGCGACGCCGCGUGAGGGAUGACGGCCUUCGGGUUGUAAACCUCUUUCAGCAGGGAAGAAGCGCAAGUGACGGUACCUGCAGAAGAAGCACCGGCUAACUACGUGCCAGCAGCCGCGGUAAUACGUAGGGUGCGAGCGUUGUCCGGAAUUAUUGGGCGUAAAGAGCUUGUAGGUGGUUUGUCGCGUCUGCUGUGAAAAUCCGAGGCUCAACCUCGGACUUGCAGUGGGUACGGGCAGACUAGAGUGUGGUAGGGGAGACUGGAAUUCCUGGUGUAGCGGUGGAAUGCGCAGAUAUCAGGAGGAACACCGAUGGCGAAGGCAGGUCUCUGGGCCAUUACUGACACUGAGAAGCGAAAGCAUGGGGAGCGAGCAGGAUUAGAUACCCUGGUAGUCCAUGCCGUAAACGUUGGGAACUAGGUGUGGGUCUCAUUCCACGAGAUCCGUGCCGCAGCUAACGCAUUAAGUUCCCCGCCUGGGGAGUACGGCCGCAAG